AGCAGCCGCGGUAAUUCCAGCUCCAAUAGCGUAUAUUAAAGUUGUUGCAGUUAAAAAGCUCGUAGUUGAAUUUCGGGAUUGGCGCAUCGGUCGUGCCUUACGGGGUAUGAACUGGUGCAGUCAAUUUCUCACCUUCUGGAGAACCGCGAUGUCCUUAAUUGGGUGCCGCGGGGAACCAGGACCUUUACUUUGAAAAAAUUAGAGUGUUUAAAGCAGGCAUUUUUGCUUGAAUACAUUAGCAUGGAAUAAUAAAAUAGGACGGCAUGGUUCUAUUUUGUUGGUUUCUAGGACCACCGUAAUGAUUAAUAGGGAUAGUUGGGGGCAUUAGUAUUCAAUUGUCAGAGGUGAAAUUCUUGGAUUUAUUGAAGACUAACUACUGCGAAAGCAUUUGUCAAGGAUGUUUUCAUUAAUCAAGAACGAAAGUUAGGGAUCGAAGACGAUCAGAUACCGUCGUAGUCUUAACCAUAAACUAUGCCGACUAGGGAUCGGAUGAUGUUAAUUUUUUAAUGUACUUCAUUCG
rnacentral:rRNA from 1 species